GACAUAAUGCAACUAGCACAAUCUAAAUUCCCGUACCGCCAGUUAGGAGCAGAGCAGGGACGAAGAAGGGUAGGUCAGCCGGCGAUUGGUAGUGCCGGUGCAAGUCCGUAGGUUGGUUCGUAGGAAUAAAACGCGAACCUUUAGCCGAGAGAUGAUGCCGAAGUCCUUGAGACUGAAGUGAUUGAUCCCAUGCUUCCGAGAAAAUCUGCGGUCUGCUAUGAUCAACUGGUGACCGUACCCGAAACCGACUCAGGUGGGCUGGUGGAGAACACCAAGGCGUUUGAGAGAACCCGGGUUAAGGAACUAGGCAAAUUGACACCGUAACUUCGGGAUAAGGUGUGCCGCAGGUAGGUGAAGGGCCUUGCGCCUGGAGCCGAUUGUGGUUGCAACAAAGCGGUGGUAGCGACUGUUUAUCAAAAACACAGGUCUCUGCAAAGUCGAAAGACGAUGUAUAGGGGCUGACGCCUGCCCGGUGCCGGAAGGUUAAAGGGAGUUGUCAGCGCAGGCGAAGCAACGAACUGAAGCCCCGGUAAACGGCGGCCGUAACAAUAACGGUCCUAAGGUAGCGAAAUUCCUUGUCGGGUAAGUUCCGACCUGCACGAGGGCGUAACGACUUCCACGCUGUCUCGACCCGGGACUCAGCGAAAUUGACAUUGGGGUGAAGAUGCCCCAUACCCGCAGCAAGACGGAAAGACCCUGUGAACCUUGACUCUAACUUGGCAGUGGCAUUCGGAACAGUCUGUGUAGGAUAGGUGGGAGGCUUUGAAGUCUGGGCGCUAGCUCAGGUGGAGCCAUCGUUGAAAUACCACCCUGAUUGGUCUGGAUGCCUAACCCCUUCGGGGGGACACUGUCUGGUGGGGAGUUUGACUGGGGCGGUCGCCUCCCAAACGGUAACGGAGGCGCGCAAAGGUCCCCUCAGCCUGAUUGGAAACCAGGCGCAGAGUGCAAUGGCAUAAGGGGGCUUGACUGUGAGAGAGACAUCUCGAACAGGUGCGAAAGCAGGCCAUAGUGAUCCGGCGGUCCCGUAUGGAAGGGCCGUCGCUCAUCGAAUAAAAGGUACUCCGGGGAUAACAGGCUGAUCACGCCCAAGAGUUCACAUCGACGGCGUGGUUUGGCACCUCGAUGUCGGCUCAUCGCAUCCUGGGGCUGGAGCAGGUCCCAAGGGUAUGGCUGUUCGCCAUUUAAAGCGGUACGCGAGCUGGGUUCAGAACGUCGUGAGACAGUUCGGUCCCUAUCUGCUGUGGGCGUUGGAGAGUUGAGAGGACCUGUCCUUAGUACGAGAGGACCGGGAUGGACGUACCUCUGGUGUUCCGGUUGUCGCGCCAGCGGCAUUGCCGGGUAGCCACGUACGGAUGGGAUAACCGCUGAAAGCAUCUAAGUGGGAAACCCUCCUCGAGAUGAGCACUCCCUUGAA
rnacentral:rRNA from 1 species